rnacentral:tRNA from 1 species
UCCCUGAUGCUUCAGUGGUAGAGAAUCUGCCUGCAGCGCAGGAGACACAGGUUCAAUCCCUGAUCUGGAAA